AUUGAACGCUGGCGGCAUGCUUUACACAUGCAAGUCGAACGGUAACAGGUUAAGCUGACGAGUGGCGAACGGGUGAGUAAUGCAUCGGAACGUGCCCGAUCGUGGGGGAUAACGCAGCGAAAGCUGCGCUAAUACCGCAUACGAUCUGAGGAUGAAAGCGGGGGACCGUAAGGCCUCGCGCGAUCGGAGCGGCCGAUGUCAGAUUAGGUAGUUGGUGGGGUAAAGGCCCACCAAGCUGACGAUCUGUAGCGGGUCUGAGAGGACGACCAGCCCCACUGGGACUGAGACACGGCCCAGACUCCUACGGGAGGCAGCAGUGGGGAAUUUUGGACAAUGGGCGAAAGCCUGAUCCAGCAAUGCCGCGUGCAGGAAGAAGGCCUUCGGGUUGUAAACUGCUUUUGUACGGAGCGAAAAGGUCCUUUCUAAUACAAGGGGCUCAUGACGGUACCGUAAGAAUAAGCACCGGCUAACUACGUGCCAGCCGCCGCGGUAA
rnacentral:rRNA from 1 species